GUCAUUUUCCAUACAUUAUCAACCUGGUCGCUUCCUACAGCAUCUGUGGUCAAAUUUUAAACAUUUUCAGUUGAGAUGAAUUUAAUACUUGGAGAUCUUGUUCAACAAGUUUUCCACUGAGCAAGGGACGAAAAGUUGUGUGUACACGAUAUGAUCAUUUGAUAUGGUCCAGGUGUAAUGAUUUAUCCCGCGGCAGAUGAAAAACUUUAACAAUUCCUUUGAUUUUUCCCCCAAAUGGUGUGCAUAUAGAGAGGAUAUCAAACAGGAUGAACGUGUUUCAAUUUAUUUUUUCGCGCGCGAAAUGCGCUAAUAAAGGCUCGCGAAGUUGAGGAUUUUUAUUCAGUUUGGUCGGAACCUCGCAACAGAAAGAUACAGUUCUAUAGUUUUGUAGUAAAUUUGAAAUAGUUAAAAUCUGCAAAUAUUAAUAGAACAGUUUAGAAAAUUUAAAAAAAAGAAGUGUUAAAAAUCGAGUUAUGUAGUGUGGAAAAUUAGUGAAAGAAAAUAUGAUUCGCUUAAAAUGAUAAAAUCCGAAUUUAUUAAACUUUGUGCAUUUGUUAAUUCCGAAAAGCAAUACAAUGACUUAAUAUCAAUCAGUGUAAACCACCACUAAUGCAGACUUGUCUAAUUUUCAGAAUGCGGAAUAAUAUGAGCACGUUUGAUCCCACCUCGAAAUGCAGUUACAUCAGCUCCCGAUCAAACCCAUUAUUUUAAUUUGGAACUUCAGUAUCUAGUUUAGCUAACCAAAAAUCUUCAACGAAUAGCAGUGUCAAAUUUAGGCAAAUAAUGUCCACUCACUCAAAACCAAAAUUCAAAACAAGGAAAACAAACAACAACGCUAUCAAGAUUUCGCCAUUUUCCUAAAAACAUGCAUUUAAUAUGAGAAAAUGUGGAUCGAUACACUAAAGGAUAAUAUCUCCUGUUGCCCCUUUUUAUGCUUCUCUAAGUAUCUACAAAACAACAUAAAAUAUCGUACUCUUCCUGCGUACACAUUUUCAAAAAGAAGGACCAAAACAGGGAGUUGACAACAGCGACAGCAGCAAGGACAUACGAACCAUCAACAAGAAAAUCAUAAGAACAUAUUCCCAGAAUACAAUGUGAUGAUAACCGUUAAGAGCAAAGAAAUGGAGAGAAAUCUUACAAAAGGAUGGGCGAAAAACUUUUUCCGGGGAAAUUUUCAAAACUAAAACUUAACAAAGCUCAUACACAAUCACAAUAUUGUGUUCAAUUCGUACGGAUAGAAAAUAAAUACACGCUGGAAAACAUACAAUUAUACGAAGGGGAAAAAUAUAAUUUUUCCAUUUCAAGGGGUAAAAUUUCAUUUAAUUCUAAAUUCACUUUCACUUGGGGUAAAACUACAUUUCAAUACAAAUGAGUAGUACAAAGCAUGGGGAAAAUUUUGCGGCGAAAAAGAAAAUCUCAUCUGUUAUCCUUUCGUUGCGCGUAUAGGUGAGAUUCCCCUUCAUUUCGAUGGCGGAAAAGAAAAUCCAAACGAAAACAAUUCCCCUUCGUAGUCUCCUUUUAAUUGAGAAUAAAAUUCAUGAAAGUAGUUUGUUUACCGGCACGUGAACAUUUCAGAUGACAUUUUUUUAAAAAUUAUCUAACAAUUCUCAUAAUUCAAAAAGUGAAUCAUUUACCAUCGAAUUAUCGAAACAAUUCAACAAUGUCCUGCAAAAAGCCAAAGUCAUGGAAAAACCUUUCCAAAAAGUGUAGUUACGAUUGACUUCGAUUUAAAAUGAAUUUCAAAAUAAGUUAAAGAAGAUCAAUUUGAAACUUUUAAUCGAAGUUAACGGUGUUUGAAAGAUUAACGAAAUCAUGGAACCAUAUUCAGGAAAUUGGCACUAAAGCAUGAAAGCAAAUUUUGGAUGGAAAGUAGAAAACAGUGAGUAUUUUGACGUUCCUUUAACCACGACCAUUUUGAAUUUUAUACUAUUUUCGGUUUCAUGAAUAUUUCAGUAUUAUUAUAAGUAAAUCUCUAUAAAAAGCAUUAAUCUAACAGCAGAACUGGAUUGAUUUGAGAUAAAUGAUAUAAAAUUGGUAUAAUUGAGAUAUGCAGGGCAAUUCGUACGCGCCGUUUUCUUAUACUCUUUAAACAGCUUUUGGGGAUGGGAGAAGCUUCUUCUUAUGCUUUGUUAUUCUGAGAUACAAACUGAUGCCUUUGAUACUAAUUGAUUUAAUAUGAACCAACAUCGAACACCAUUUCAGAAAAUGUCCUCAUUAACUUUUCGUCAUAUGCAAAAAUAUUACUUUAUAAAGAAAAAUUCAAAAGAGAGAACAUGGAUUAUUAUGGAAACAGUAUUUUUGAUACUUUAGUUAUAUUAUUUCAAAGAAAUAUCAUGCUCAUCUUGUUAAUAGAAAAUAGUAACAUUUAUCAAAAAUUCAUCCGAAAUCGUUUUCAAUUAAAAUUCUAAACACUUACAUUGCUAUUACUGUUUCUUAGCUCUCCUGGCAGUACAUUAUUCAAUAACAAAUUAUAAAAUGAGGAAAAUUAUAAUUAAAAAUUGAAAUUCAAGCAAAUACGAAAUUAUCAUUCUAGAAAUGAUUUUAGUUAUGCAAAAAAGAGUGUUCACGACUAAUUUAAUUCAAAUUCAUUCUUUCAAAUCUGGAAUAACCAAAAUUGGCUAAUCUUAGAACUUCCAAAUCAAUUUUAAUUUUCAACCCACCUUGCCAUUAUCUAUUUUUAAUCAUUAUCUUUUAUGCAAUUUUUAUUCAGAUAUGAAUUUUAUACUAAACUUUCACUCUCUUCCUUUUCAUCAAAAAAAUAUAAUUAUAAUUGAAUAGAAAUCAUAAAUUACUUUAGAAAUAAAUAUCGUUUCCCUGCCUAACUACAAAACUAUUGCAAAAGAAAACAAUCUGGCUGCACUUGAAAAUUUAUUGAAAUUAAAAAAUAUCUGAAUUAAUUUUAAAUUCAAAAAAAAAAGAAAGACUGACUGAAAAUAUAUUUUUCCUUUCCCUACUUUACUAGAUAUAAAUAUUCACUAACCUGAUCACUAAGCUAAUUAAAUAAUUAAUUAAAUUUCAUGGAGAUUUCAUCCAGUCAUAUUUAUAUAAUAUCCUAAAACCGUGAUAUAAAUUACUAAAACAUUCGAAAUCUAAUGAUUUAUUCCAUUGUUCACCUUUAGGAAAAACUCCUCAAAUAUUGAUUCACAAUUCAAUGUUUUCUUUUAAAUUUCACAUUUUUAUGUUGAAAUAAAAAAAAAUAUUUCCUUCUUGUUUUUGGGAAAAGUUUCUCAAACUAUAUAAAUUACUAAUAUAUUCCAAAUCUAAUGACAUAUUCCAUUAUUCACCUCUAGAGAAAACUCCUUAACAUAUUAAUUCACAAUUCAAUGUUUUUUUCUAAAUUUCAUAAUUUUAUGUCGAAAUAAAAAAAAAAUAUUUCUUCCUCGUUUAUGGGUAAAGCUUCUCAAGUUCUCUAUCAAAAUUAUAGUUUUUCUAACUAAAAAUAUGUCAAAAUCAUUCUCUUUGAUAUUGGGAGCAUUCCGAGCCAAACAUGAACCUUUUAUAAAUUACUAUUGCAAACAAAUAAUUAAAAUAACGUUAAUAUUCGUGAGAAAAAUGCUAUAAGCCGCAAAUUAAUUAUAAUAUUUCAAGUAACAUCUGAGAUCCAAAUUUAAAAUUUAUAUUAUAUUAAUCUUCAGCAAAUGUUGUGCUUUAUAAGUUAUUUAACAUUUUCUUUCCUUCUUUCGUAAAGCAACUUAGUCUUUCCAGAAAUUUACAUCUCCUUAAAAAAGCCAGAAAUGAAAUUCAGUUAAAGAUUUUUUGCUAUGCGGAGAGAUAUUCCACGAAAAUUUUUGCUAAAUUAAAAAUGUCAAUUGGAGAAUAAGUAAAAGCCAAAAUAAUAUAUUUUAAAAAAGAGAAAAAACAACAGAUUGCGAUAUUAGAACAUUUUAAUAAUCAAAAAGGAAAUGAAAGAAAAAAAAAUAUUAUCAGAAAAUGGGGACAAUAUUUAAAGUCUAUUUACAUUCCUUGAAACAUUGAAUCUAAAUUUUUAAACUUAACUUAAACUAAAGUCUUCGAAAUUCUGUUGAAUUAGGCGAGCAACCAUACCAAUGGAAAUAUUUAUCUAAUUUCAAGUUUCAUUAUACAAAUUUGCAAGCUGGUUUUGAAAUAAUCAGUUUCCCCCAUCCAGUUAUUUGAUUGCUAUUUUAAAUAAGUAAAUAUUUGCGUUUUCAAAUCUGUUAUUAUAAACAAAUGAAUGUUGUGGAAAUAUUCGGGCAAAGUUUAAUUGAAAAAUGCUACAGUUCAGAAAAAUAAAAUAAAAAAAAAUAUAGUUUAUCUAUUCAGGCUUGAAAAAGAACCAAACUGGAAGCAUAUCGAAAUUCAUCUUAAAAAAAAGUGAAUAUCUUUCAAUGCCAAAAUCAAAUACCAAAUAUUUGGACAAAGUUUAGUUGAAAAAUGCUACAGUUCAGAAAAUGAAAAUAAAAAAAAUAUAGUUUAUCUAUUCAGGCUUGAAAAGAGAACCAAAUUGGAAACGUAUCAAAAUUCAUCUUAAAAUAAGUGAAUAUCUUUCAAUGCCAAAAUCAAAUACCAAAAAAUAAACACAACUCGACUUCACUCUCACGAAAUUCUAAAACCAUUUGAAAUUUUCCCCCAAAAACGCAUCCCUUAGCAAUAUCAGCACAAUUUAUCUACUAUCUCCCCGAAAUCUUAAAAUCUGGUCCCAUUCCCAUUUCUUUUAUAUUGUUUAAACAUACCAAAUUCUAUACAAUUCAUAUAGUAGAUACCCCCUACCAACUUAAUACUUACUUGCUGCCAUUUAAAUACAUAACAAGAGAAUAUAGCGCAGACAUAAUGGCCACGGUUCAACGAUUAUGAAUAGGCCCUUAUUAAAAUCAAAUCUUCUUGCUUCUCCCAUAGCGAAUGAAUUUUUUUGGACUGCAUUAUAUCCUGUAAUUCAAAAUCCCGAGACAUCGCAUAAGAAGAAGUUUUCUCAAUAAUUUAAUUCAACGCAAGAAGACCGCGAAGUAUCUGAGAGACGUUUCCAUCCUGGUUAGUUAUUAUAUGAAAUCGUUCGUUGUACAUUGCUUGUCCUUUUCUUACUUAUUCGCCAAACUUUCUGGAGGGUUUCCAAAUAAUACUUUGUCUACAGAUACAUGUUUUGAAUUAAGUCCAUGCUGUAUAGGUUGUACUGUUUUAUAAAUCAAAACCAUCUUAAGUUCGGUCCCCCUUUUGGGAAGAUGUUUACGAGACGAUAGGAAAAACUUCGCUAUAGAAAGCUAUUUAAGACUGCAGAAUAUCUUUCAGUGCUGUCUAUCUUGGUUCUGUAUCCCAUCGAAAAGCAUUACAGUUCGAUACACAUCUAAAUAUCAAAGCAAAAUGUUCUUUGACAAGAAGUACCAUUUAGUUCUUGCAGUAACAAGACAAGAUAACUUCGUGGUUUCUCCCUAAACCAAAACUGUAACUAAACAUCCAAGGCAUAGUUAUAUGUAUCUAUGCACGUGUAAAUAUGAAAUCAAUAACACUAAAACCUAUAAUGCAUCCCCAAAAUUUCUCACUCUAUGAGCCACAAUUUCUCAAGAAGCAAUCGGGGUGAACACAGCAAUCAAACAGUUCAAAUCAUAUCUAUCUUAUUUAUACAUUUCGAAUUAUUCAAAAUAUUGUAUGAAAAUUGAACAUUCCAGGCUUUAUCAAAUUGAAAUAUUUCGAAUAAUUGCCUCCAUUCAUUGCUUUUUGAAUAGUAUGAAGUCUCCAUCGGGGUCGUCGUCUUGAAAUCAAACCUUGGGGUGCUUUAAGCUCCAUUAAGAAGUUAGACGAUUUUCAUUUCAUCCUUUGAGAUAGCUAUAUAGCUUUGUAUAUCAUUAUGUAUCUGUUAAAUUCUCUAAGAAAGUGUUGGUGUUAAAAUAUGUAAUCUUAGGCAGAUAUAUUCGAUGAACAAAUUCGUUAGAAUGUAAUUUACACGGUAGUCACAGACUCAAUGUCUACUCCUAGAUAAUAUCAAAAGAUAUAUCAUUCGACAAAUAAUAUCUGGUUCAAAUAUAUAUAUAUACAUACAUAGGUGAUACGCAAAUAAAAUUUCAUUUACGGCCAGAAUUUAGGACAAGAUAAAUUUAUUACUAUUUUAAAAUUAUCAAAACUAUCAAGUUAAUACUGAAUUUCACUCUUGGAAUUAAGAUAGAAAAUGCACUAAAUUGAAAUUAAAUCAAAUUGUAACUAUAAAACAUACUCCAAAAAUAAAAACAAUCUAAUUUUCUCUCCACCCGCUGAUAUAUGAAUUCAAUCUGGAUAUCUAAUUUCCUGAAAUAUGAAAUUCAUUUUAAAUCUUACAAAGAGAAAACUACAGUGACGGUAAAUGUCGUUUGUAACUACACUUAACAAUUUCAAUUAAAAAUUAACCGUAAAUCCUCUUAUUUUAAAUGUUUAACAAUUUUGAGAACAUUUCAAGUAAGACGAUUGCUAUCAACAAAAGUUCAGUUUAAAUAUUUCGUCAGCCAAAUUUUAAAACUUUCAAAACCUUACUCGAAUACAUACACCAAAUGCAUAUAUGUAUCUAUAAUAAGUCAAGCACUAGACCUAUAAAACACAUAUGAAAGGACUAUAUAUUUCUAUAAAAUCAUUAUUAUCAAAUACUGAAUUGUUAAAAUAAAAUGUACACAUUAUGGGAAAAAAAGGAAAAUUUUCCCCAAAAAUCGAACCGUCAAUCUUGAAAAGUACCUUUAACACUAAAAUUUAUAGAUUCUUCGCGCCUUAUCCUUUUGUAAAGAUAUUACCAAUGAAAAACUAUCUGUUGGCAGAUAUUUCGAAUAGUACUAUUUAACAAGUAUCCAUUUGUAUUUCCAUUUUUAUAAUAGGCACUUUAUAUCCACAAUAAAGUUCCAAAUAUAACGAA